UGGGAUAUAGUGUAAUUGGUAACACAACAGGUUUUGAUCCUGUUAUUCAAGGUUCGAGUCCUUGUAUCCCAUCCA
rnacentral:tRNA from 1 species